rnacentral:rRNA from 1 species
UACGGGGGGGGCAAGCGUUGUUCGGAAUUACUGGGCGUAAAGGGCUCGUAGGCGGCCAACUAAGUCAGACGUGAAAUCCCUCGGCUUAACCGGGGAACUGCGUCUGAUACUGGAUGGCUUGAGUUUGGGAGAGGGAUGCGGAAUUCCAGGUGUAGCGGUGAAAUGCGUAGAUAUCUGGAGGAACACCUGCGGCGAAGGCGGGUUGCUGAGCUGACACUGACGCUGAUGCGCGAAAGCCAGGGGAGCGAACGGG